rnacentral:tRNA from 1 species
UCCCUGGUGGUCUAGUGGCUCAGGAUCCCGCGCUCUUGCUGCCGUCGCCCAGCGUUUGAUUCCCAGGCAGGGAA